UACGGAGGGGGCUAGCGUUGUUCGGAAUUACUGGGCGUAAAGCGCGUGUAGGCGGCUUUGCAAGUCGGAUGUGAAAGCCCACGGCUCAACCGUGGAAGUGCAUCCGAAACUGCAUGGCUGGAGUCUCGGAGAGGAAGGUGGAAUGCUUGGUGUAGAGGUGAAAUUCGUAGAUAUCGAGAGGAACACCGGUGGCGAAGGCGGCCUCUGGACAGUGACGUG
rnacentral:rRNA from 1 species